GUGUGUGUGUGUGUGUGUGUGUGUAAGCCCUAGUUAAACCAAGUGAGAGUCAUUUCUUGCGUCAGCACAGAGCUAAAAUAUGCACACACUCCCAUGAGGAGAGAGCUGCUUUCACAAGAAAAACUCUGUGCACCUCCUCAGAACGACUCCAAGUGUUUGACAGCAGUGCGCUUAACCACCACCACAACACACACACACACACACACACACACACACACACACACACACACACAUGCUAAAACAACAAAAAACAACCCUGAGUAUCAGUCUGACAACAUAUAAUCAUCCACUGAAAUUCUGGUUACGCUUGAGAGCAGGUUUAGCGGCGAGAGCAGGGAUGUUCCCGGACUGGGAUUGGAGCGUAGCCCGUUUGAGACGGAUUUCCAGGACAGUGAGGGAUAGGAGUUUUCCGAAGGGACACAUAAUGUGUCGGCCAGGAGAUUUGGGAUGUGGCCCAGGGAGAAAGCAGCAUUCCACAGGAGCUUGGAGUUUUGAAAUCGGGCUGCGUUCCAAUUCGUACUGUGGAGGGAGUCGGUGUGACGAAACACUUCUACACAUCUGAAAACAUGACCAGUGUGACUGACAGGAUUUUCUUUACACUGAUGCACCACUGCUGAAGGACUGAAUGUAAAAAGACCGGCACUAGGACCUGUGUGUGUGUGUGUGUGUGUGUGUGUGUGUGUGUGUGUCUCUGUGCCUGUGUAUGUAUGUAAUCAAUGUGUGUGUUUGUGUGUC